CAAAGAUAAAAAAAUAGAAAAACAAAUGGGGUUAGAGAUUAAUAUUUCUCUGUGUGUGUGCGUGCGUGCGUGCGCAUUGUGCAGACUAGUAUGUUUCUAAUGUCUGUUAUUUUUUUCUCCAUUGCUUACCAAGAUGUAUGAACACAUACCAGGCCAUUAUGUCAUUUUGUUCAAAUAAGAGUUGUUGUAUUUUCCAUGAGUAGAAUGUGUCCUCUUGUACAGAGGGACUUUCUUUGUAUCUACGUGUGUGUGUGUGUGUGUGUGUGUGCGCGUGUGUAUGAUUGUGUGUGACAGAAAGGGGGCAAUGGCACAACACAUCCUUUCUCACCAGCUCUUCAUCCCCAGAGAAACGUAAUAGAAUGACAGACAUUUGUAGAGGGGGAUUAUGGCUUUGCGCUCCUUCAUAUGUUGUUAAAGCACCACUUGUUUCUGGGGUGUUUUGGGGUACGGGCUGAUGGAGCAGUGCCCCUGCCCGCUGUCUUCUCUCAGCCACGGCCUCUGAGCCUGUGUGUGUGUGUGUGUGUGUGUGUAUGUAUGCAUGCAUGCACAUUUGUGCCUAAGAACUCUGAAAGGGUGAAUGGGAUGGAGGGAAUGUUCAAUGGCCAUUGAGACAUUUACUUCUUGAGUGUGUUAUGGUUAUGUUAAGCGCUCUGUAUAGCCUGUGUAUGUCAAUCAUAUAUCCUAAUAUUUCAGGUUUAGUCUGGGGAUGAUGAUUGAUUGGAAGGUUAGUCCAGUUUAGUUUUCCUGGGAUGUGAUCACGUUGCCUUGUCAGUUCUCUUUAACUUGCGUGUGAAAGGUGUGCAGUUUCAGAUUCUGCUCAAAACAAUUAGCAUCAAACUGUUCACGUACAGGAUGGUGCACAAAAUGUUAGCAUAUUCUUGUGUUACUUACUCAUUGUUGUUGCUAUUGUUGAUGAUGACGUUUCUUUUUUAGGAAUAUAAAUGAAAAUACAUACAUGAAUAAUCAAAGAAYAAAAAAAAAAAAAAAAAAAGUAUUUGGACUACGAUUAUGAGCACUGCUAUUUUUUCUCUUUUUUUUAUUUUCAUAGUUUAGUUUUUGUUGCAUUACUGCCAUGUGAAGUGCGUUUGUUAUUUCUUUCUUAAGAAAACAUUGAAUGUAUUCCCAAAAAAGUCAAAAAAAUGUGAUACAGGAUUUUUUUGCUCCACAAAAUGUCUAAAAAUGGAAUCAAAAAAAAAACUAAAAAUCUAAGAUUGAAGAGGUCGYCGAGUUCUUUACUCUUUCUUUUUUUACACAAAAGAGGAAGAACUCGGGAAGGCUACAGUUGAACACACUGCCUCUGCAAUCCUGUUCGUACAAAAACAAUAUUACUAUGAAAAAAUCAAGAACAGACUCUUUACUAUUCCUUACUGGAGUUUUGGUUGUUUACAAAACACACGGAUUUCUGUGGGUGCAGUUUUUUGGGGGUUAGGGUGGAUAGUGGGUAAGGGCAGGGUUUUGCAAGUGCGCUUCUGCAAAAUGGACAUUCAAUGGCCUACGUUGUUUUGGCGGGAAGGAAGGAGGACAUCACAAUGUGACCCUUUAGUGGAUGUGUUUUUUUUGUAACUGACUGAUCAUCAAGGAGUGCAGGUGAAAAAUCUAAGAUUCUUAUUUUUUUUACUGCCUGUAUUUGAACUCAAGGACUAAGUGUUUCUGUUCGUGGAGUAGAAAGCUUAAUCAAAAAGCAGAAACAGCAGAGGAGUUUUUGGUACUUAGAACAUGCAUAAAGGAAACAACAAUAUCAUCGCUUUAAUACAUAAGUCUCCUGGAGUAAAAAUAUGGAGUACAUUUUUUUUGCUCCUUGAACAUGUAAAUGYAACAAAGAUGGACAAACCCGUGAGGAGUGGUUGAGAAUAAAGGAAAUGUAAGAAGAUUUUGUAAAACCGUACAUACAAAUGACAUUGACCUCAAUCUACCAUUGCAUUCAAUUGGACCGUGUGCAGGCAGAAUUKUUUUUCCUUUUUUGUUUAAAAGGGGUCUCAGGGUGUGCAGUGGGGGUAUUUUAACCCUGCGAUGAGGGGAAAUGAAAGGAUACUAGUACUGAUCUCUGGGGAACACCCAUCAGCCCUCGUCAACACUUACUGUUGACGAGGGCUGCCCCGACCACUCUCACUAUGCACUUUGGUUCAUUCAAACUGUGAGGUGCCAUCACAUUUGAGAUAGGAGCACAGAAAUAUUGUAGUACAAAGGGAGGGUUUAAAAUAAAAUAAAAUAACUUUGACUGAGUUAAUACCGUCUCACUGAAAACAAGAUUUUCAAAACGAAAGACAGGAACACGCCUUCUUCRUCCUGUACAUAACCAUAUUUUUGUAUUAGGCCUAACUUUAAAGAAGAUCACUUGGACAAAACUGCAAGGCUUGAUAUACAAACUAACAGAAUAAGGAAAUUCAUGAGACAUUGAUUUACAGAGUGAAUAYUCCUGUGGUAAAUGAAUUACCUGGAAAUUCCCCAAACUUUGCCAGUAGCCCUGUAUGUCUUCAGGGAUGGGGAAAGAAAAGACUUAACAUGGUUGGAGCUGGGGACUGCAGGGACUCCCAAGACUGAAUGAUGAUCGCUGCUGCAGAGCCCAGCCCAGAGUGUUUGACCAACUGGCACCAACCAAUGGAGAAGGCAGGGGAGAGAGUCAGGCGGAUGUACCAGGGGACCUGCUUCCCAGAUGCCCCCCCCCAACCUUCUGUCACCUAGCCACUGCCUGGAGAUCGAUCACGAGCUGACUGCAAGAAGACAACCAUCAUAUGGGGUCCUCACUGUUCUUAGCUGCCCUCUGCUGGAGAGGAGAUGGAGAAGCUCCUCAGCCCUUUCUUCUUCCACUACUCCUCUCUGCACCCCUGGUGGUGAAAGAGCAGGAACCACAUCAGCUGCAGUAGCAGAGGACCUGGAACAGUGGAGAAACUGACCACACACACACAGAGCUUUACACACAUGUCCAUGCAGCAUUCUCAAAUACUCUCUUUUCAAGAACCACAUUCUUGAAGACGACAUUUCACACACACACACACACACACACACACAAGCAGAAAGGCUCAAUACCAUACACUUGAGUUCUGACUGCUAUGUAAAUAAUAUAAAAGUAUUUUCUUUUUUCUGUUCAACAUGCCUUAACUGUGGAGAUCCGCCUUUGUAUGGCAAACUCUAAAACAUAUAUUAACAGUAAGAGUGAAAGCCAGUUGGAGAACCUGAUAAGGACUAUAGCAUUUGAAUAAGGGGGGUGGUGUCAAUGUUCUACCUACUGGGACGGCGUCUUAUUGGCGAACAAUACUGUUGUAUGUUACGUUAUUUCUGUCCAGCAUCUAUGGCAACAAAGUAGAACGGAAGGCAAUCCCUGACAACGAUGAUUAAGACUGAUGGUUUGCCUUUUUUCAAAGCAAGAGUGACUGUUCUGUUWUCCAGUUUUAAAUGCCCAGACAUGUAGCUGAAGAUGCAGGCUGAGGAAUCUGAAGCCUGUGUAUUAUGGAGCUGAGCUGACCAGGAAGAGUGUGUUAAAUAAAUCCAUAUGUUCCUUUA